rnacentral:lncRNA from 1 species
CAUCUCCUGCUGUAUUCUCAAAGGUCUUCCCAGCAGUCUCCUGUUUAGGAGCUAUUAAAAAGAAUUUCGUUUUGGCUGACUCCAUUUCUCUCCCUUCCUUGCCUUUUAAAGAAAGUCCGGCAUUUGCCAGUCCAAUAGCUAGGACCUUUAUGAUAGAAAUGUGAAAAACUAAAGAGGAAAAGCCAGCUUGGAGGGCUGCAGGGAUGCUCCUCUUAGGACAGUCCCAUCCUGGCCUGGAGCUUUAGUCAGAAUCAGAGAGGAGUAGAAGAUGCCCAUGGGAAGCCCUAGAUGCUCACACAGAGAUUGCCCUUGCUGGCUCGAGAGUUAGUCCUACAGUAGCUGAGAACAAAUUACCCAGUGCUAUGAGGGAACUGUGGAGAAUGCAGAGAAAACCCGCUGAUUCCACCCUCUUUCCCCAUGAGGAAACCAUUACCACAGAACUACAGGACUCUGAGCUUGUGCUGAUCUUGCAGUCAACCGAAGGCAAAAAGUUCCAAGAAACGCAUCAGUCUGCCCACGCCGCUGUCCGCCGCUCGAAGCCUUGGGCAGAUUCUGACUGCCCUCUUCUCCCUUCUCUGUCUACUCCAUCCAUCGCUGAAAGACAAGCACCCGUCCGUUCACUCACCCACUCACCUCUAGGGUUUUCUGACCAGUUCAAAUUUGGUUUUGUGUCUUGCAACCCAAAGACUCCUGACAGACAUAUGCUCGGGCUCCUUCUGGAUCCAGGAAAUCACGAGGAAGCACACGGUCAUUCUACAUCUCCCUUCCAUCAAUACUUGCGGUCUGAGUAAUCUGGAGGGCACAUGUAGCCUAGAAGUGAGAUGGUGGAGCAGGGGCAUCAGGCUGCCCACUUCUGCAAAAGCACAGCUGGGGGCAGACUGUUGAAGUCCAUGCAAACAGAAAGCAGAAAGAGGCCAGAUCAACUCAGGCCCAAUAAAAGUUGGAGUCGGGUUGACGUGGAGGCUGCUGGGUCUUUGGUGUUGUGAUGUGCACGGUUUUGACUGUGUAUAAGGCAGAGCUAGAGCCCAGGAGGGACGCUGCAGGACCUUGGAUCAAACAUCACAGUAGGAAGCACACAGGAGGGAGGAAGGUCCUGACAUACAGGCCUGGUUUGACAAGUCUUGUAGACAGAAGGCUGGGCACAUGCCCACAGACACUGACUUCCUGUGAGUGCCCUUUAGAACUCUAGAUGGGGAACUGUUCUCAGCACUGGCUCCUCCAGGCAGGACCUUGACAAGAGCUUCAU